GCGGUGGCGCCGGGUCGAGGGCUGAGUUAUCCGCGAGGCCCCGCGCUCAAGCCGCCUUCUCCUGCCGGUCGGUAGAACGGACCCCUUGUUUUAUUCCUGCCUCCUCUUUCUUUUUCCCUGUGGCUCAGCCCGUCCGCUGGACUGCAAACCGAGCUCCCGGCUGCCUUGCAGAUUUCCAUGAGGACAACUUACAAGGACCUGUAUGGCCUCAUUUUAGCUGCUUCAGUGUGUUGGAGCUGUUACUUGCUCCUUCAUUUCCUGGGCCUGGUGUGACAGUGGCUACUGAGCGCCAUGAAGGUUGUCCCAGAAAAGAAUGCUGUCCGGAUACUCUGGGGGCGAGAACGGGGUGCUCGGGCCAUGGGAGCUCAGCGGCUUCUGCAGGAGCUGGUAGAAGAUAAAACACGGUGGAUGAAAUGGGAGGGCAAGAGAGUAGAACUGCCGGAUAGUCCACGCUCUACCUUCUUAUUGGCCUUCAGCCCAGACAGGGUGGCAGUGAAAGCUGGUUCACAGAUAGCAACAAUGCCAUUGCCUCCCUGGCUUUCCACCCUACGGCUCAGCUCC
rnacentral:sRNA from 1 species